rnacentral:rRNA from 1 species
UACGAAGGGGGCUAGCGUUGCUCGGAAUCACUGGGCGUAAAGGGCGCGUAAGCGGCCUGAUCAGUCGGGGGUGAAAGCCUGUGGCUCAACCACAGAAUGGCCUUCGAUACUGUCGGGCUUGAGACCGGAAGAGGUAAGUGGAACUGCGAGUGUAGAGGUGAAAUUCGUAGAUAUUCGCAAGAACACCAGUGGCGAAGGCGGCUUACUGGUCCGGAUCUGACGCUGAGGCGCGAAAGCGUGGGGAGCAAACAGG